CCGCAAUAGCUCAGCUGGUAGAGCACAUCAUUCGUAAUGAUGGGGUCGGGGGUUCGAAUCCCUCUUGCGG
rnacentral:tRNA from 1 species